AGGUGGUGGAAAUUGUUGGAAAAUCGCGUGAGGUAAUCAACUGAUACAGAAUUUUUCAUUCAGUACUCAAAUAAGGAAAUUGUAAAUUUUCCUCAAAAUGAUGCACAUUUGCGAUAUUUAAAAGGAAGCAUCGACAACAACAAUUCAUACGAUUCAGAACAGUCUAGCCAGGACGUCAGAUCAUCAACUUGUAUAAAAAGUACUACUGUGGUCGCACCUACGACAUAAAGAAAAUGCUAUCUAAAAAAUCAAUGUUAACCCUGUUUGUGGCAUUGGCACUAAUUUAUAGUGCCAUGGCUUGUAACGGAUUUGACAGUCCAUGCACUGGACCUAAUGGUCAACAAGGCAGUUGUUGUGGGGGCAUGCAUUGUCAGAAAAAUGACCCCUCUUGGGCACAAGGGCGGUGUUACUAUAAUCCUGGAAAGUAACUGAUAAAUAUGAAUUACUAACACAUACUAAAAUGAUUAUUAAAUCAUUAAAGAAAAUAAAAAAUGGCCAAAUAAAACAUCAAAA